CCUGGUUGAUCCUGACAGUAGUCAUAUGCUUGUCUCAAAGAUUAAGCCAUGCAUGUGUAAGUAUGAACAAAUUCAGACUGUGAAAAUGCGAAUGGCUCAUUAAAUCAGUUAUAGUUUGUUUGAUGGUAUCUACUACUCGGAUAACCGUAGUAAUUCUAAAGCUAAUACGUGCAACAAACCCCGACUUCUGGAAGAGAUUCAUUUAUUAGAUAAAAGGUCGACGCAGCUCUGCCCGUUGCUGCGAUGAUUCAUGAUAACUCGACGGAUCGUACGGCCAUCAUGUCGGCGAUGCAUCAUUCAAAUUUCUGCCCUAUCAACUUUUGAUGGUAGGAUAGUGGCCAACCAUGGUGGUGACGGGUGACGGAUAAUUAGGGUUCGAUUCCGGAGAGGGAGCCUGAUAAACGGCUACCACAUCCAAGGAGAGCAGCAGGCGCGCAAAUUACCCAAUCCUGACACGGGGAGGUAGUGAUAAUAAAUAACUAUACCGGGCUCAAUGAGUCUGGUAAUUGGAAUGAGUACAAUCUAAAUCCCUUAACGAGGAUCCAUUGGAGGGAAAGUCUGGUGCCAGCAGCCGCGGUAAUUCCAGCUCCAAUAGCGUAUAUUUAAGUUGUUGCAGUUAAAAAGCUCGUAGUUGGACUUUGGGAUGGGCCGGCCGGUCCGCCUAUGGUGUGCACCGAUUAUCUCGUCCCUUCUGUCGACGAUGCGCUCCUGGCCUUAACUGGCCGGGUCGUGCCUCCGGAGCUGUUACUUUGAAGAACGAAAGUUGGGGGCUCGAAGGCGAUCAGAUACCGUCCUAGUCUCAACCAUAAACGAUGCCGACCUGGGAUCAUCGGAUGUUUCUUUUAGGACUCCACCGGCACCUUAUGAGAAAUCAAAGUUUUUGGGUUCCGGGGGGAGUAUGGUCGCAAGGAUGAAACAUAAAGGAAUUGACGGAAGGGCACCACCAGGAGUGGAGCCUGCGGCUUAAUUUGACUCAACACGGGGAAACUUACCAGGUCCAGACAUAGUAAGGAUUGACAGACUGAGAGCUCUUUCUUGAUUCUAUGGGUGGUGGUGCAUGGCCGUUCUUAGUUGGUGUAGCGAUUUGUCUGGUUAAUUACGUUAACGAACGAGACCUCAUCCUGCUAACUAGCUAUGCGGAGGUAUCCCUUCGCAGCCAGCUUCUUAGAGGGACUACGGCCUUUUAGGCCUUGGAAGUUUGAGGCAAUAACAGGUCUGUGAUGCCCUUAGAUGUUCUGGGCCACACGCGCACUACACUGAUGUAUUCAACGAGUCUAUAGCCUUGGCCGACAGGCCCGGGUNUCCUUGGCCGACAAGCUCGGGUAAUCUUUGAAAUUUCCUCAUGAAAGGGAUAGAUCAUUGAAAUUGUUGGUCUUCAACGAGGAAUUCCUAGUAAUCACGAGUCAUCAGCUCGCGUUGACUAUGUCCCUGCCCUUUGUACACACCGCCCGUCGCUCCUACCGAUUGAAUGAUCUGGUGAAAUGUUCGGAUCGCGGCGACGUGGGCGGUUUGCUGCCCACGACGUCGCGAGAAGUCCAUUGAACCUUAUCAUUUAGUGGAAGGAGAAGUCGUAACAAGGUUUCCGUAGGUGAACCUGCGAAAG
rnacentral:rRNA from 1 species